rnacentral:rRNA from 1 species
GACGAACCGAGCAAACGUUAUUCGGAAUCACUGGGCUUAAAGGGCGCGUAGACGGGCAUUCAAGUCCGUGGUGAAAUCCGGCAGCUCAACUGUCGAACUGCCGCGGAUACUGGGUGUCUCGAGGGAGGUAGGGGCGUGCGGAACUAUUGGUGGAGCGGUGAAAUGCGUUGAUAUCAAUAGGAACUCCGGUGGCGAAGGCGGCACGCUGGACCUCUUCUGACGCUGAGGCGCGAAAGCCAGGGGAGCAAACGGG